GUAUUCCGCUCCAUAGCGUAUAUUAAAGUUGUUGCAGUUAAAAAGCUCGUAGUUGAAUUUCGGGGUCAGUAAGCUGGUCGUGCCACAGGUACGUACUGGUCUCACUGAUUCCUCCUUCCUGAUGAACCGUAAUGCCAUUAAUUUGGUGUUGCGGGGAAACUGGACUGUUACUUUGAAAAAAUUAGAGUGUUUAAAGCAGGCUAACGCUUGAAUACAUUAGCAUGGAAUAAUGAAAUAGGACGUUCGAUCCUAUUUUGUUGGUUUCUAGGAUUGACGUAAUGAUUAAUAGGGAUAGUUGGGGGCAUUAGUAUUCAAUUGUCAGAGGUGAAAUUCUUGGAUUUAUUGAAGACUAACUACUGCGAAAGCAUUUGCCAAGGAUGUUUUCAUUAAUCAAGAACGAAAGUUAGGGGGUCGAAGACGAUCAGAUACCGUCGUAGUCUUAACCAUAAACUAUGCCGACUAGGGAUCGGAUGAUGUUAAUUUUUUAAUGACUCAUUCGGCACCUUACGGAAC
rnacentral:rRNA from 1 species